GAUCCUUGGAUUGUAAUGCCUCGUAGCUUUGUAAAUUCAAGCCAUUGUAAUAGGCCUUUACCCCAAGGUUUGUUAUCAAUUGGAGCAAUGACUGUGCCAUCAAGCUGAGGGAAAAUUCAACUCAUCAGCUUCAAACAACCAGAAAAUGAGAUUGGACCCACGAGGAACACAUAUUCAGCCGGGACGAUCACCGUUGAUGCUUCAACUUUACAAGCAGAUGCCCAUGCAGCUUGAAAUGCCUGCGUUGCAUAUUAUCAAUAUCCUCUAAGGCUUUGCACGGUAACCCGAACUUGUCUAGUAAUAAGCUAAAUUUGGUUGAUCAUGACUUACUAGGGAGAAGUGGAGACUCAGG